AUUGAACGCUGGCGGCAUGCCUUACACAUGCAAGUCGAACGGCAGCACGGGAGCAAUCCUGGUGGCGAGUGGCGAACGGGUGAGUAAUAUAUCGGAACGUGCCCAGUCGUGGGGGAUAACGUAGCGAAAGCUACGCUAAUACCGCAUACGAUCUACGGAUGAAAGCGGGGGAUCGCAAGACCUCGCGCGAUUGGAGCGGCCGAUAUCAGAUUAGGUAGUUGGUGGGGUAAAGGCUCACCAAGCCGACGAUCUGUAGCUGGUCUGAGGGGACGACCAGCCGAACAGUGACGGAGAAACGGCCCAGACUCGUACGGGAGGCAGCAGUGGGGAAUUUUGGACAAUGGGCGCAAGCCUGUUCCAGCAAUGCCGCGUGCAGGAUGAAGGCGUUCGGGUUGUAAACUGCUUUUGUACGGAACGAAACGGCGAGCUCUAAUACAGUUUGCUAAUGACGGUACCGUAAGAAUAAGCACCGGCUAACUACGUGCCAGCCGCCGCCGUAAAAC
rnacentral:rRNA from 1 species